AUCACUUCCUGGGCCUUUUGGCUAAGGUCAAAUACAGUAUCUGUUCUUAUUACGUUAAUAUCAAAUAGAUCUUCAGUCCAGAGACUAUUAUAAUAAAUAGAUUUGAGCGGGGGGGCAGGGUGAUGUAACAGGAGCUUUCUCUGUCCACUCCACAAAUUGACAAGAAAUUGCUGGGGAUACUUCUUGGAAUAGUGAAUUUUUC
ensembl:snRNA U2 U2 spliceosomal RNA